UGAUUUAAGUGAUUCCAUGGCAGCAGUAAAGGUUAUGCAUUCCAACAUAAAUUCUACUCUUUUUUUUCCCAGCUGUCAGAGAGGACUGAUACUUUAUCACAGGAAGGGCUAUUGCAGUCAGUCUGGUACAUGGAGGGCCUUCACCCAAAUUUCUUGUCCAAAACACUGUUUGACUGCAUAGUUCAAGGGCCAGAGAAAUCUAGACCAGACCUGGGGGGACAUCGUAGAUUCUGAAAUCCGUGACAAAAUACAAAAGGUUUCAGAAUCAACAACUCUGGAGGAACUCACCAAGUCAACUGAACCUCUCCAUGAGUAUCACGCCAAUGCAGGCUGUCUGAAGCCACUGAAAAGUGUUGACGACAGGGAUAGACUUGUAGAAGAUGUCUUGAUGUUUCAAGUGAUCAAUCGAGUCCGUGGACCAUUUGAAAGGUUCAAGAUGGGUUGUAAACACUUGGAGUUCUGGAGCAGAUCCAGAAGCAUCCAGAAUCUUUCAGUCAGUGAUGUGCUACAAUCCAAAGCCGCCUCACCGCUGACCAGGUUGAUGGCUGUUCCACGGUCCGGUGGUCAGAGGAGGGGAGCAACCAGAAAAGAAGAUGAGGAAACAGUAGUUGCUUUCUGGAGGGGACUAUUUACAAGAUGUGGAAGAGGAAGAUGGAUCAAAGAAAUGGGGGACAUCCUAGCAUUGCAACGGGAUCUGCUGCACCAAUACCACCAAUCGGCUUUUCUCCUCAGCCAUCUCUUGAAUUUCUUCACUUCAAGUGGUGGAGCAGAAAAGUUUUUUUUUGUUAUUGUACAGCAUUAAACGGUUAUGUCAGUAUCCACUCCAAUUAUGUGGAUAUAUUGAAAUGCAAAUUAUUUCAUUCACACUAGACCAAGUUUGCUUGUUUUGUUAACUUGAGUGCAUACAUUUCAUGCUAAGGGAUUACAUGUGUCCUGUUGUUUGUUUUACAUGAAUGUUCUAAGAAUGGAGGCCACUCGAGAAAUUUAUUUUUCAUGUUGGGCAGUAUCCACAUGGCACGGUCUAGAUUCAAUACCAGACCGUUAUGCUUGUCUAAACACCGCAACCGUGAAUCAACGGGACGAGUUACCCAGCAGCCCCCAAAGUUACAUUUUUGAAUUGUGUUUUUUUAUUGUCAAGUUUAAUUCAAAUGUACUUGUCGAAUGAGCUGGGAGGGUAUUUCUCUAAGCUGGCUAACUGAGUAAGCCUGACUUCUGCAAUAAGUACAACCUGGAAACUCUUCAAAUCUGGAACAUAAAAAUUAAAAUAGCUUUCCGGGUUUUUACUUUACACAGAAGUCAGCCUUACUCAGUUAGCCAGCGGAUAUCAGUCAAUCAGCUGAUGCUCAGAAAUACAGUAGAAACAACUUUUGAUG